GCCCGGCUCUCCUCCCGGGUGGGGGCGCUGCCGCCGGCGGUCACAGGCGGGGCCCGCGUAUCACUACAACGACACAACGGGCGGGCCGCCCGCUGAAAGGCACAAAGCACUCUGGGAUAGCGGCUGGCGGACUGACCUCCAGGAGCCGCCCGACCCUGUGCGGUGCCCUGCCUGCGGGUCGCGCCGCGGAAUCCCGGUAAGUGUCUCGCCGCAGCUGGGGUGGGGCAGUGACUGUUACCGCGGCGCGGGAAAAGCUGAGGAGCUGCCAAGGCAGACGGUGCCUCCCUCCAGCUGAUGACAGCGCCGGAUCCCCCCGGUCCCGCCCCCUUGGCUCUGGGCGGAUGGUCAUUGAUUAUGCAGCGUUCCUCUGUAAAAUGUUUCCUGGAAGAUGAGCACUGCCGGCUAGGUCAGAGAAUGUAAACACACCGCCAGUCCCCCCCCCCCGCCCCCCCUUUCCGGCCAGCCUACAGUACAGCCAGCACUUAAAAGCCACGUUAAUGGUGCGCUGUGCUCUGGAGGCAGCCACCUGGCUGAGGAACAAGAGCAAGAGAAGCUUGUGAAAAUCAGCGUCACAGAACAAUACGGUUAGACAGGACUGUAAGGGUCAUAUGGUCUAAUCCCAGCCACUGCCAAGAAAUGCUGUAUCAUUUCCAAGGGAAUGGACACCCACGUAUCCUUGAUCCACUGGGCAACCUGAUUGAUUUUGGGCUUCAUAAGAUUCCUGCCUUUUGUCAACUUCACCAUACAGCAUGCAGACGAAUUCCAGUUCUAGUGACAAUGUACCCAUUUUGUCGACAUUCAACAACCUAAUUACUGAGAUCUUUCUCCAGCUCAGCAAAUGAAGCACACUUCAUUGGAUGUUUUUUCUUGCUUCUUGGCAUGUCUUUUAGUGUUUUAUUUUUUCGUCAUUCUCUUACUUGCUUCUCAUGAGCAGCGGUGUAAUUAUUGUUUGCUUCUGCAUAUUCAACAACUAAGAUUGAACGCUGUGUGAUAAGCAGACCAUUUUCUUUUGAUUUCACUGUUCAUUUUAAAUACUAGUAUGAAAACAGAUUAUUAUAGUUAUAGAUUUUGUAGGACUUUACAUAGGAAUUUCACCUGCUUUAUCACUGUCAAGUUAUUCUUUUUUUUUAAUUUCAAAGCAGCCCUGUAGAUUGGCAUGUCUGUGGCGAUAACAGGCUAUUUCAAUUUUAUUAGCAAUUC